UACGUAGGAGGCGAGCGUUGUCCGGAAUUACUGGGCGUAAAGAGCGCGUAGGCGGCGCUGUACGACCCGUCGUGGAAAGCCCCCCGGCUCAACUGGGGGAGGGUCACGGGUAACGGCAGUGCUCUGAGUGCAGGAGAGGGAAGUGGAACUCCGGGAGUAGCGGUGAAAUGCGUAGAGACCCGGAGGAACACCGGUGGCGAAAGGCGGCCCACUGGGCCGGUACUGACGCUGGAGGCACGAAGGCGUGGGGAGCGAACGGG
rnacentral:rRNA from 1 species